CCUACGGGUGACUGCAGUGAGGAAUAUUGGUCAAUGGCCGGAAGGCUGAACCAGCCAAGCCGCGUGCAGGACGAAGGUGCCAAGCAUUGUAAACUUCUUUUGUCAAGGGACAAAAUCAGGCUCGAGAGCCUGACCGAGGGUAUUUGACGAAAAAGCAUCGGCUAACUCCGUGCCAGCAGCCGCGGUAAUACGGAGGAUGCGAGCGUUAUCCGGAUUUAUUGGGUUUAAAGGGUGCGUAGGUGGUUAAUUAAGUCAGCGGUGAAAGUUUGUGGCUCAACCAUAAAAUUGCCGUUGAAACUGGUUGACUUGAGUAUAUUUGAGGUAGGCGGAAUGCAUGGUGUAGCGGUGAAAUGCAUAGAGAUCACGCAGAACUCCGAUUGCGAAGGCAGCUUACUAAACUAUAACUGACACUGAGGCACGAAAGCGUGGGGAUCAAACAGGAUUAGAUACCCGAGUAGUC
rnacentral:rRNA from 1 species